rnacentral:rRNA from 1 species
UACUAGAGUAGCACUCGCAUAUCAAUAAGCGGAGGAAAAGAAACUAACAAGGAUUCCCCUAGUAACGGCGAGUGAAGCGGGAAGAGCUCAAAUUUGAAAUCUUAAAGGGUUUCCCUUUACGAAUUGUAGUUUAAAGAAGUGUUUUUCUGUUGAGGUUUUGGUAAAAGUUCUUUGGAAUAGGACAUCAUAGAGGGUGAGAAUCCCGUAUUUGACCUUUACUUUCAACUUUGUGAUACACUUUCAAAGAGUCGGAUUGUUUGGGAAUGCAGUCCAAAAUGGGUGGUAAAUUUCAUCUAAAGCUAAAUAUUGGCGAGAGACCGAUAGCGAACAAGUACCGUGAGGGAAAGAUGAAAAGAACUUUGAAAAGAGAGUUAAACAGUACGUGAAAUUGUCAAAAGGGAAGCGUUUGACACCAGUGUUGUUUUUCUGAAAAUCAAUUAAAGAACUGUUUAUGCUAAGCUGUUUAGACUUUAUCAGCUAUCUGUUUAGUUUUAGGCUUUUCUUUAAUGCACUUUUCAGUUAACAAGUCAACAUCAAUUUCUUUUGCUGUAAAAAAGCUUGAGGAAGGUGGCUUGAGAUUCGUCUUAAGUGUUUAUAGCCUCUUGCCUAUGCAGUCCGGAGAGAUUGAGGUCCGCAGCGUAGAUCCUUCGGGGCUAAAUGCAUUUGUGCUAAGUUAUAGCAUUUUAUAGACAACUUGUUGACUAUGAUUUGUCUUGUAGCUUACUCGCUUAUGUUAUUUUACCUACGCUUAGGAUGUUGAGCGCAUGUCUCUCUCU